GCCUGGCGAGCGCGUUUUUCUGUUGACGGUUAGCGGCUGUGUAAGUGCCCGUAAAGCUUGACUGCUUUAUAGCGGGAGCACGUGUGUGAGGAACUAACUGUUGGUUGGCGCCUAAGAGAAGUUCUUGUUUUCAGAAGUACUACUAGCCUACAGCAACCAGGUCUAAUGGGAAAAAAACCAGCCUGAAAAAAAUAAAAAGCAAACUCUUGUGCGACAUGCCUCAGAAUGCAUCCUGCAAAAUAAAGGGGGAAGCAAAGGAAGCUUUGUAGUCAGGUUGUGCCAAAGACUGCUUGUUUAGGACUUACUUGACACUAAAGAUAACGAUGGAACACCUAUUGAAUUUCCAUUACAUCUGUAAAAGAGCUUCUUGGAGUUUGAGAGAGUUUUCGUCAUUGAGUUCAAAUGGAAAAACAGCAUUUGGAGCCAGGCAAAAUACAGAAGCGCCUAUGAAAAUGAAAGACAGAAGAAGAAUCCAUAUCAAUAAAUGACCAAAAACUGGCUUGAACCGGGAGAAUAACUUGUUGAUCAUUAUUGUCUCCAUAUUUCUUUCCAGACAUUCCGGAACCAAGGUAGUACAGCCCUCUUAAUAUGGACCCAUUUCAGAAUGCAAGCAUGAAAGUUGCCCGUGUGAAAGCAGUCUCACAUUAAAUUUGUAUUUAGGAUGACAUUAGAUGCAUUUUAGGGUCCUCCUGGCUUCCUUUUUAAAACAUACUCUCCGUUUUUCUCUCCCCCACCUCAAAAUCACUGCCAAGCUGUUUUUCCAUUCACAGACCUGGGGCAUGGAUGGUGGAUACAGGUAACUGUAAUACUGUUUACUUCUGCCAAGUGCUGCCUCGUGGGUCAGAAUGUGGCAUAAUGUUCUCUGUAUCCAGUUACAGGUCUUCCAAAAUAGACCAAGCUGUAAGACUGAUGCCUGGCCUUAAAUGAAGGGGUUUGUGAAGAAUGUUUUCAUACAUCUCAGCAACAUCACGGCAGUAAAAAGGAGGCUGGAGAAAAGGGAGAAGACACACAAUUAGAAAGCUAAUCUAAGAAGACUUUUUAAAGAAAUAUAGAUAAAGGUUCACAGACUGCAUAUUUGAAGAGACAAGCAUACACACAACCUGACAAACUGUGGGUUAAUUAACCUAUGAUUUGCCAUCUGUGAAUCAGAACUACAAUAAUUAACAAUUGUUCUUAUUAUGGCUUGGUUUGUUUUUGAACUGCUAUAUUUAUUGCUAUUAGUUUGAUAUGUUGUGAGCAGCCCUGGUCACACUUAUGAAAAAACAGCAUGCUAGUAAAUGAGUGUUGAUGAUGACCAUAACAAGCAAGCUGUCUACAUUUAGAAAAAACACUGCUCAUGCAAUCGAUGUACUCAUAUAGCAGCAUAAUGUCACAGCAACUAACACAAAAGCAAAAUUAAAAAACUAAAGUUUCUAGAGUAGCUAGUAAACAAUUUUAGUAUAUGUUGUGACCCCAGCAGGGCAAACCACUGGUGCCUGUCUUAGUUUUCUUUUUCUGAAUUUCUAUAAGUAAUGUACUAGCAUGAGACAGCAAUUACAUUUUACAUAAUGAAACAAAGUAACACUGUGGUGUUCUGUUGCAUUAUUGGAAGUUUCAAUGGUGGCUUCAAGUUCUGCCUAUGCUCACUGAUCAGCACCCAAUAUACGUUAAGCUUUGCCAGGGUUCAAGGAGCCCCCAUUAACACAGGAAGGAGCCUAGAAGACACUAUUGCCAAGGGCCCCCUGAGAGUUGGGACUGGGCUUUUUGCAAUUUGUAAUUUUCCAGUUUCUUGAAGAAGAGGCAGAAACACAGAGAGACUGGUUGUUCUGAUGUCAUGCUGCUCAUGCAAACAGAUGGCAUAUGUCAGCAGAAUGUUAUAUUGUGGAGAUGGCUUAAAACUCUAGGUGAUUACAACUGAGGAUGUUAAAUGAAGGAAUUCUUUACACUGUAUUGUAGUGAAAAAUGGGCACUCAGCAAAGGUGGAGGAGGGUGCAGGAAGAAUCUUUCUGGUAGAAACCUAGUAGAGAAUGCUGCUGUUUUUACCUUUUGAUUGUUCCUUUCAUCCUCAUCCUCAGAUGGAUCAUAUUGGUGCUUUGGAUUAUCCAUCUGAAGAAACGAUCUCACAUCUGGGCUAAGGAAGAUAGUUAAAUGCAUCCAUUAUAAAUAAUGGAUCCUUAUUUAUGUUCAGUAUAAUUACUUUCAGACACAAACAUUUCCAUAACUUGUUGUAAACCGUCCUGAGAUGCCAGUAGAUGGACAGUCUAGAAAAACCUUAAAUAAAUAAAUAAAUUUGUAGAUGUAAGCACUCAGGAUAGCACUCAUAUGCAUACAGAAGGGAAAUCAAUUAUAAGAAUAAGACAGAAACAGAAUAAACAGGGAGUUAUUCAGUGUGUCUGUUUCAGAAUAGGUUAAUUAGAACCAGGUUUCUGUUUCCACCUCUAUAGUGAAUACUAACUGGAUAACUUGUGAACAGCACCAGUAGGAAGCUAUUUACUUUCUAACAUGUUUAGUAUUACUAUCAUUUUUACUUUUUAAUAAGAUUCCCUCCCUCCCUCUUAUACAUGGACAGAAUUGCUCAGGUUUACAUGAAAGCAAAAAACACAGCAGUAAAAUACAAAUCUAGUGCCAUUAACAAGUAUCAAAAGUCUUUCAAAAAACUGUAUAUUAAGAAGCAGGAAGAAAGCCAGCAGUGAAGGUGCUAUUGGCUGGGCAUUCCUCAGAGUAAGUACCAAUGUGGAAUAGUUACUGUCCAGAGCCUGUACAAUUCUGUCUUUUGUGGAUGGGACACGAAAUAAUGCCUUAGCCAUCAGGCUUAGGGCAUAGGAUGAUACAUAUGGGAAGAGGCACUCUCUCAGAAAUGGUGGCCCUGAUACUGCAGAGCUUUAAAGGCUGGAGCCCUCACUUUAAACUUGGCCUGAAAACUGAAAGGUAGGCCACAGAGUUGUCCCAGCAUUAGAACAACUUGUUCCUGUAACCCAUAUUUGUCAAGGGAGUCCAGCAUUUUGCCCUAGCAGAAGUUUCUAAAUGGUCUUGAAAAUUAAAUAUAACUUGAAUAAAUGAAUAAAAUUUCUUUUUAAUAUGGCGUAUUUCAUAUUUCAUUUAAAAUAAAUGUAGUUCCACAUUGCAACAGUCAGUUUGAGAGGAUAUCAAAAUACUGAGGACCUAGGACAGAUCCCUUGGCUGAAAAAGUUUUUACAGCAGACUUACUAUCUUAUAGAGGAGGUAAUGAGGAGGAGGAGAACUGACACUAAGCAGUGCCUCUGAUUCCAGUCCUCAAGCUGUCGAGAAGGAUUUGGUUGUAUCAAAUGUAAAUAAUCAAGGACUAGAAAAAUUAGCCAAGUCACACUCUCUCGUGUCCAUUUCUAGAGAUAAGCAACCAUAAGAUGCUUGUAUCAAAUUCUGAGCUGAAUUUGGGCUGGAAUUCUUGGAGUGGAUCAUUCUACAUCCUCACCUACUCAAAAAAGGCAGAUGGGAAAUUCUCCUGUCAUCCAGGUCAGCCAGGUUCACUGAAGAUUUCUGUCCCCCUCAAAAGAGAAUGAACCUCGCUUUCCUUUAAAGAUAUAAAGAAAUGUUCCCUCUUCCAACUACUUGUUUAACAUGGCUGUUAAGAAGUUAAGAAGAAACAAAUGAGUGGGUUUAAAACACAUGAGUGGGACUUGUUAGAAAAUAUUGCAGUGUCUAGCCACGUCAAUACAUUUCUUGUCCUCUGAUAUUCUAUUCUCUUAGGUUGGAUCACUUAGAAGCAGUUUGUGGAUUAUGACUUCUAUCCUGCAACUUAUCACAUAGUCAUAUUUAAAUAUCCACUGGGAAAAAAUAGAUUCACUUACUGAUUACACAGUUCUGGCUGCCGUACUAAAUUCUGAAUGAAUUCAUUCAGUCCUGUUCUUCUCUGUUUAAUGAAGUCUGUUUGAAAGAAAAAUGAGGAAGGGCCAGAAAUUGGAAUUUGUCUCUAAUAAUGUGUUUAUACAUUUUUUGAGAUAACAUCAGUGUGCCUCAAUGAAAUAAAAGCAAUUUCCUUGGAACCUAUAAAGAACAAUGAGAUGGUAAAAUGGACCAGAUCUCAAGCAGCUUCUGAUCUUAUGAGUAAAAGCAAAGGAAAGCCCUCCUUUCUUUCUUAAAAAAAGAUACCCAGUAAAAUGUGAAAACAUGCCUAUCCUUUCUAAAAAUGCUUCAGGCAUUCAAACAGGGAGAGGGUUGAAAUGUCCAAUAAACUCUUGCAACAGUUAUCAAAAUUUAAUCAAAAUGUAUUUAUUGCAGGAGGGCUGUUUGUACCAGGAUGGCAACUUGAGGUUCUCCAGAUUUUUGGCCUACAACUCCCCUUAUACCUCAGCACUGAAUAUUCUGGCUAGACUUGAUGCUAAGUCAAAACAUCUGGAGGGCCAUAUGUUGCUCACUCCUGGCUUAUACUUUUGAGGGCAGGGACUUUAGAGGAUAGAACUUAAAGUCUUAUGAAAGCCAAAUCCCUUGAAUCUUAAAAAAUUGUCUACACAAAAACCUUUCUCAUCAAAGUCUACAUAUCAUACAACAGAAAACAAAAUUUUAUUGUGGUAUAUCCAACCUGCAUUAAUUUAUUAUCCUGUAAAAAGGGAAUUGAGGUAAACCAUUUUGGGGUAAGUGUGUAUACUGAGAAAGUGAGAGGAUAGGGCAAUUUUCUUUCAGUUGAACCUCAAGUAAAAAAUUGGUAGGUGACUUUUUAAACAUAGUAGUGAAUCGGACGCAGGAUGGAGAAAGAUAAAAGAAAUGAUCGCUAAAUUGAAGGUGUUCCAAGGUUUAGAUAGUGUGAGGAAAGGACUGCCCAAUACAUUAUUCAAUGUAACCACUGAAGAACCUGAAGAGUGAUGGGCUAGAUUGCGAUCUCCAUUUGAUGGUAGUAAUACUAGGUGUGGCUACUCAAGCUGUCUGAAGCCUGAGUAAAGAUAAAUGGGAAAUGGAAUAUUUUCAUGUUUGUGAUAUCUUAAUAUGAAUACCACCUUUUUUCCCAUUUUGCUAAAAUAAAGGUUUUUUACAGCUAUGAUCAGUAAAAAGGAUGAUGGAACCAUUCAGAAUUAACUCUUAUCUCUUCUUUCUAAACCUGCAUGUACUAUUUAAAGUACUAGUGAGGAAAAAUAUUCCAAAAUUAGCCUGAGGAUUAUGCUAAAUACUAUCCAGCAAAAUUUAAGAGACACUUUGUAUAAGUGCUAAAGUGGUUCAUCUUUGGUUUAUAGUCCAGUUAAUAGUUCAAUACAUAACAGAAUCUACCAAGAUGGGAAAUCUGAUGUAUGUGGAUACAGUAUAAGUGAGAGAUGGGACAUGCCUAAAAAUAUGAAAACAUCAGUUUGAGAAAACAACAAAAACUUACACGUGCAACUGUUCUGGCUGUUGACAGAAUUGCAAGGACAGAACAUUUGUAUCUCUUAUAUUUAUCAGCGUUAUACCGAUUACAAUGUACCCUACAUUAUAAUGAAUGAUACUGAUGUGCACAGACAAAUCAUACUGCACCAGGCAUUUUUAAAGAAGAAUUCUGAUCCUCAAUGCACUUCCACUCAAUGCCUUGAUUUCAACCUGUUUUUAACAUCUUAUGCUAUAAAAUACAAGGAAUUUAAUGAAGUCAACAUGAAGACUUUCAAAGGAUCUAAUCAAAAAUGUGUGCAAUUGGAAGAGAAGAUGAAAGCAAAUCUCUCUUCUAUUAUGGAUUGUACUACAUGACAGCCUCUCACAGAUGAAUCAAUGUAUUGUGUGCCACAAGGGAGGUCAUGAAUAAGAGGGUAGGGAAACUUUCUUUAGUUGCAACUCAAGCCAAAAAUUGGUAUGUGGCUUUUUAAACAUAGUGAAUCAGACUCAGAAUGGAGAAAGAUAAAGAAGAAAUGACUGCUAGACUGAAGGUGUUCCAAGGUUUAAAUAGUGUGAGAGGGACUGCCCAAUACAUUAUUAAAUGUAACCACUAAACCAGAAGCUUGCAUGAGACGGAGCUAAGAACUUUAGAUCUACUGUUUAUUACUGGCAAAGUGAGCUUAAACAGAAGAUGUGCUCACGCCUGCUUGGGUUACAGAUGAAUGUAGUACUUAUUUCGUUCAAGGCCCUAUUUGCAACCUAACUCACCUCCCAGCCUCGAGGUGUUCCAUUAUUUAGCCAUCUCUUUUCUUACCUGUGUAUAUUAUUAUGUCUAUUAAUCAAUACCUGAUCUAAACUGGAACUUAAACGAUUGCCUAAAAAAAAAAGUUAAAUGAAGUUUCAGCUGCUGCACUGACAGUUUGCUGUCCUGAAUCACUACUAGAAUAUACUUUCCCUGAUGAUGUACCUCAGCUACACUUUGCGGAUAUUAUUAGCAUGUUGUCAAUAUUAGGCAACAGUCCAAAACAGAAAAAAGCAGCCCAGAAGUGCAUUGUACACUGGGUAGAUAAUGAUAAAUCAAAAAUUAAAUAA